rnacentral:rRNA from 1 species
AAUGGGCGGGGAGCCUGAUCCAGCCAUGCCGCGUGCAGGAUGACGGCCCUAUGGGUUGUAAACUGCUUUAAUACGGGAAGAAACGCACCUACGUGUAGGUGUCCUGACGGUACCGUAAGAAUAAGGACCGGCUAACUCCGUGCCAGCAGCCGCGGUAAUACGGAGGGUCCGAAGCGUUAUCCGGAAUCAUUGGGUUUAAAGGGUCCGUAGGCGGGCCUGUAAGUCAGGGGUGAAAGUUUGUGGCUCAACCAUAAAAUUGCCUUUGAUACUGCAGGUCUUAAGUCAUGGUGGGGUCGCCGGAACAUGUGGUGUAGCGGUGAAAUGCAUAGAUAUCACAUAGAACACCGAUCGCGAAGGCAGGUGACCAACCAUGUACUGACGCUGAUGUGACGAAAGCGUGGGUAGCGAACGGGAUUAGAUACCCCGGUAGUCCACGCCGUAAACGAUGGAUACUAGCUGUGGGGACUUCGGUCUCCGUGGCCAAGCGAAAGUGAUAAGUAUCCCACCUGGGGAGUACGUUCGCAAGAAUGAAACUCAAAGGAAUUGACGGGGGCCCGCACAAGCGGUGGAGCAUGUGGUUUAAUUCGAUGAUACGCGAGGAACCUUACCAGGGCUUAAAUGCAGGCUGCAUGGGGUGGAGACACCCCUUUCUUCGGACUGCCUGCAAGGUGCUGCAUGGUUGUCGUCAGCUCGUGCCGUGAGGUGUCGGUUA